rnacentral:rRNA from 1 species
AGCGAACGCUGGCGGCAGGCCUAACACAUGCCAGUCGAACGGAUCCUUCGGGAUUAGUGGCGGACGGGUGAGUAACACGUUGGAACGUGCCCUUUGGUUCGGAACAACUCAGGGAAACUUGAGCUAAUACCGGAUGUGCCCUUCGGGGGAAAGAUUUAUCGCCAUUGGAGCGGCCCGCGCCUGAUUAGCUAGUUGGUGAGGUAACGCCCCACCAAGGCGACGAUCAGUAGCUGGUCUGAGAGGAUGAUCAGCCACACUGGGACUGAGACACGGCCCAGACUCCUACGGGAGGCAGCAGUGGGGAAUCUUGCGCAAUGGGCGAAAGCCUGACGCAGCCAUGCCGCGUGAAUGAUGAAGGUCUUAGGAUUGUAAAAUUCUUUCAGCGGGGACGAUAAUGACGGUACCCGCAGAAGAAGCUCCGGCUAACUUCGUG